CGCCCUUAGAGUUUGAUCAUGGCUCAGAUUGAACGCUGGCGGCAGGCUUAACACAUGCAAGUCGAGCGGGGAAGUAGCUUGCUACUGCCUAGCGGCGGACGGGUGAGUAAUACUUAGGAAUCUGCCUAUUAGUGGGGGACAACGUUCCGAAAGGAGCGCUAAUACCGCAUACGCCCUACGGGGGAAAGCAGUUCGUUGCGCUAAUAGAUGAGCCUAAGUCGGAUUAGCUAGUUGGUGGGGUAAAGGCCUACCAAGGCGACGAUCUGUAGCGGGUUUGAGAGGAUGAUCCGCCACACUGGGACUGAGACACGGCCCAGACUCCUACGGGAGGCAGCAGUGGGGAAUAUUGGACAAUGGGCGCAAGCCUGAUCCAGCCAUGCCGCGUGUGUGAAGAAGGCCUUAUGGUUGUAAAGCACUUUAAGCGAGGGAGGAGGCUUCCUAGUAAUCUAGGAAGUGGACGUUACUCGCAGAAUAAGCACCGGCUAACUCUGUGCCAGCAGCCGCGGUAAUACAGAGGGUGCAAGCGUUAAUCGGAAUUACGGGCGUAAAGCGCGCGUAGGUGGCCAUUUAAGUCAAAUGUGAAAUCCCCGAGCUUAACUUGGGAAUUGCAUUCGAUACUGGAUA
rnacentral:rRNA from 1 species